GCCCCGAUAGCUCAGCUGGAUAGAGCGGUCCCCUCCUAAGGGACAGGCCGGCGGUUCAAAUCCGCCUUGGGGCGCCA
rnacentral:tRNA from 1 species